rnacentral:rRNA from 1 species
UACGUAGGGGGCGAGCGUUGUCCGGAAUGACUGGGCGUAAAGGGCGUGUAGGCGGCUUUUUAAGUGUGGAGUGAAAGUCCACUUUUCAAGGGUGGAAUUGCUUUGCAGACUGGAGAGCUUGAGUGCGGAAGAGGUAAGUGGAAUUCCCAGUGUAGCGGUGAAAUGCGUAGAGAUUGGGAGGAACACCAGUGGCGAAGGCGACUUACUGGGCCGUAACUGACGCUGAGGCGCGAAAGCGUGGGGAGCGAACAGG